AUGUUUUAGCAUAGAUUCAGGAGUUAAGUACAGUUGAAUUAGAUGGCUGCUGAGGUCCACUCCAACCCUGACAUCUUCUGACUUUGUUUUUCUUAUACUUUAAUUCUUCUCCACAGGUAUUGUACAAUCCGACUGCUCUCACUUAAGAGGGGCCCAGCUGCCCUGGCUUAGAGCGGCUCAGCUGAAUGCUGUAAACCGCCUCUGUGCCUCUGCAUUGGCUAUCUCCAUCUCCUAUGGCUGUGAGCUUCCCAGCUUCAAGUAAGAUAAAGCUCAACUUCCCUUUUCCAGAGAAAGCCUUUCCUUGUCCUGAAGCCACUAAUUUGCCACUCUCUGUAGCCUCAGCUCUUAGCAUAAGGCCAGACACAGAGUGAGCACUUACUACAAUGUUUGUUGGCUAACUGACUCUGAAAGUGUAUUGUGCUGUCAACAAUCCCAAGCUGCACUGAUAUAAACUUUUCCGGCUCUCAAUAUUCUCUUAGCUACAUAGCUGUGAACUGUGCAACAUUACCACCCAGAGAACUUGCAGGUGACCUAAAGUAAAAUGGAGAGAUGCCCAGCGGGUCGAAACAGGAUGUAGCAUGAGAACAACUUGUGAAGUUUGCCUGGAAAAACAGCCUAAGAAAUGUCAUCUGUGAAAUGUGUGAUCAAAAAAGGGAUUGGAUCAGGGAAUAGAAUAAGGACCUAGAUAACCAAGGUGUAGGAUGGUACCAGUGAGAUGUUAAGAGACCAAGAAGAAGUCCUACAGUUCUGAUUAGGUCCUCAAGGAAGGACUGGGGAGAAAAAAAGAUGAGAAUUACCGAAGAAGGAGCAGAGAGAAAAGGAGCAACCUAGCCUGAUUUGAGAGCUGGAAUGCGUCUUGGAAGUUGUUUAAUCCUCCAUACUAGCUUAGAAGAUCCAUGAGGGCAAGAAUGUUCUGAAACAGAGGAGGAACAAAACUCACAAGCAAAGAUUUUUCAGAAACCAACUGAACUACAAGAUGUUCUCCAGGCAAAAAUAUACCUUCAUUCUAGGGAAUAUCUUUACUACACAUGUGAAAGGUGCAGAUCAAAUUAACCACACUAAAUAAGCAUUCAGUCUUCAAAGUAACUGCGCUUAAAGUUCCACAAUUUGAGGGUUUGGGGAAGCCGAGAUGAAGCAGACCCUAUGAUUUCACAGCUCAGGAAACUUCAGAAGUUUUUGCUGCUAAUGCAUAUCUGCAGCUACUUAGCAACCAAUAAUUCAAGCAUUUAUUAUAUACUUCUUCUGGGUCAGGAAUUGUGUUAUAUAUUUGGGACAGAAUGGAAACCCUGAAUUUUGCACUCAGAAAGCUGCCUAGGAUACUGAGCAGUCAGGUGACUUUGCUCAUAUGUAUCAAAAAGGUUCCCUAAGGAUCCUAGACCUCCCAGAGGGUGAUGCCUGAGCAGAGUGUUAAGCUCUUAAGCAAUAGCUGUCGAGAACAAACACUUGUAGAGUCAAGGAAACAGGACUUGACUGACUUCACAUUGCUCCUUACAAUGGCAAGAGGGAAACAUGAGAACCAGCCAACUAUGGAUCUGAGUCAUGAACUUUUCUAUAGUGUCCAGCUCUUCUUAGUAUCUCUGAAAAAAAAUUAACUAAAAACAC